UGGGGAAUUUUGGACAAUGGGCGAAAGCCUGAUCCAGCAAUGCCGCGUGUGUGAAGAAGGCCUUCGGGUUGUAAAGCACUUUUGUCCGGAAAGAAAUCCUUGGCUCUAAUACAGUCGGGGGAUGACGGUACCGGAAGAAUAAGCACCGGCUAACUACGUGCCAGCAGCCGCGGUAAUACGUAGGGUGCAAGCGUUAAUCGGAAUUACUGGGCGUAAAGCGUGCGCAGGCGGUUUGCUAAGACCGAUGUGAAAUCCCCGGGCUCAACCUGGGAACUGCAUUGGUGACUGGCAGGCUAGAGUAUGGCAGAGGGGGUAGAAUUCCACGUGUAGCAGUGAAAUGCGUAGAGAUGUGGAGGAAUACCGAUGGCGAAGGCAGCCCCCUGGGCCAAUACUGACGCUCAUGCACGAAAGCGUGGGGAGCAAAACAGGAUUAGAUACCCUGGUAGUCCACGCCCUAAACGAUGUCAACUAGUUGUUGGGGAUUCAUUUCCUUAGUAACGUAGCUAACGCGUGAAGUUGACCGCCUGGGGAGUACGGUCGCAAGAUUAAAACUCAAAUGAAUUGAC
rnacentral:rRNA from 1 species